CUACGGGGUGCUGCAGUGGGGAAUAUUGCACAAUGGAGGAAACUCUGAUGCAGCAACGCCGCGUGGAGGAUGACACUUUUCGGAGCGUAAACUCCUUUUAUAUAGGAAGAAGAUGACGGUACUAUAUGAAUAAGCGCCGGCAACUCCGUGCCAGCAGCCGCGGUAAUACGGAGGGCGCAAGCGUUACUCGGAAUCACUGGGCGUAAAGAGCGUGUAGGCGGAUUAAAGAGUCAGAAGUGAAAUCCUAUAGCUUAACUAUAGAACUGCUUCUGAAACUCUUAAUCUAGAAUAUGGGAGAGGUAGAUGGAAUUUCUGGUGUAGGGGUAAAAUCCGUAGAGAUCAGAAGGAAUACCGAUUGCGAAGGCGAUCUACUAGAACAUUAUUGACGCUGAGACGCGAAAGCGUGGGGAGCAAACAGGAUUAGAUACCCCGGUAGUC
rnacentral:rRNA from 1 species